UGAGAACUGAAUUCCAUAGGCUGUGACGACACUGCAGCAGCCUGGGUCUUCAGUUUUCUCC
rnacentral:pre_miRNA from 1 species